AAAUUGUUGAAUUUGUUGUUGAGGUCAGCGCUGACGCUCAUGUCGGUGUACAUUCGGUGGAGUUUGCUGGUGAACUCGUAGCCACAGGCUUGCUGUGAAGCGGAAAGAGGAAUGAGGACACAAAAACUGGAAAAAAAUGACGAUGCUGUGCUACUGACGUUUUCCUGAGAGAGGUUACUGGUGCCUCUGAUGCCCUCGUUGUGGAUGUGAACCUGCAGCUCCUGGAUCAUGUGAGGCAACCCGUUGGAGACAGCCCUCAGCAGGGUGUACAUGUUCGCCAUGUCUGCGUGGAACAACAAUUGAUACAAUGUCAUCACUGACAUAUUAAAGAAAGAAGCAAAUAAAAACAGCGCACUGA